rnacentral:rRNA from 1 species
AGGGUUAUCUGCGGAGGGAUCAUUGCUGGAACGCGCCCCAGGCGCACCCAGAAACCCUUUGUGAACUUAUACCUUACUGUUGCCUCGGCGCAUGCUGGCCCCCUCGGGGCCCCCUGGAGACAGGGAGCAGGCACGCCGGCGGCCAAGUUAACUCUUGUUUUUACACUGAAACUCUGAGAAAAAACACAAAUGAAUCAAAACUUUCAACAACGGAUCUCUUGGUUCUGGCAUCGAUGAAGAACGCAGCGAAAUGCGAUAAGUAAUGUGAAUUGCAGAAUUCAGUGAAUCAUCGAAUCUUUGAACGCACAUUGCGCCCUCUGGUAUUCCGGAGGGCAUGCCUGUUCGAGCGUCAUUUCAACCCUCAAGCAUUGCUUGGUGUUGGGGCACUGCUUUUAACCAAGCAGGCCCUGAAAUCUAGUGGCGAGCUCGCCAGGACCCCGAGCGCAGUAGUUAAACCCUCGCUUUGGAAGGCCCUGGCGGUGCCCUGCCGUUAAACCCCCAACUUUGAAAAUU